rnacentral:rRNA from 1 species
AUAGCGUAUAUUAAAGUUGCUGCAGUUAAAAAGCCCGUCGUCGAACUUCAGGCCUGGCUGGGCGGUCUGCCUCACGGUACGUACUGUCCGGCUGGGUCUUACCUCUUGGUGAGCCGGCAUGCCCUUUACUGGGUGUGUCGGGGAACCAGGACUUUUACCUUGAGAAAAUUAGAGUGUUCAAAGCAGGCCUGUGCCCGAAUACAUUAGCAUGGAAUAAUAAAAUAGGACGUGCGGUUCUAUUUUGUUGGUUUCUAGAGUCGCCGUAAUGAUUAAUAGGGACAGUUGGGGGCAUUGGUAUUCCGGCGCUAGAGGUGAAAUUCUUGGAUUGCCGGAAGACUAACUACUG